ACUGAAUGUGACCGACUCCAGAGCUAUUUCUGCUAUCAAGAUUUGCUCCGAUGGAAUAUGGGUAUAAAUAUCCCUCCGACCUGAGACCGUCAUGGUGACUUGCAAGCAACUCACUGCACUUAGGUACUGGACUACCUAAAUUUUUAAUUCAGUGAUGGAAGGCUGCUGGGUGUAGUCAAGUACUUGACUUGUCGGUGCGUGUGUCAAGAUGGGAUUGAUCACUCCCAUUUAGGAGCUGUGUACAGUCGUGUUUCAAUUUAGCAAAAUCUUGGCUAGGGUAGUCCUUGUGAGGAGUCACAAGACUGUUUGAUGUGAACAC
rnacentral:lncRNA from 1 species